GUAUGUGUCCCAACCCCCAGGGGCAGUGUCACACCCACUUUUUUGUUAAUAUUUUGUCUGUAAAUUUGGCAAAACAAAUGCCUAGCCUUUUUUGACUCUUGUCAUAUUACACUAAUUACAGCCAUUUCAUAUUUCAUUCUCUUCAUUUUAAAAAGUACCAUUUCAAUCCAAGCUAGAAUGUGGACGUAAACUGAAGCGUUAGCGAUGCUCUUGUUAAAUUUGCUAAUCAAAUUUGGUAAAAUUGGACUUUUUGAUUAGCAUUGCUGCAAAUAAACUGUGAAAAUUUACUGACAGCUCUGGUAUAUGGUCACCAACUUACUGUAUCCAUUAUUCUAUACUUUUCAUGUGGAUAUAUGGUUAACUGUCACCAAUCCCCAAGUAAACAAAGGUUAUAUAACCAAUUAUGAUAUCUGUCUUCCUGGUGAAUGUGAACCUUCUUGCUCAACUAAAUUUAGAGGCAUGGUAUACUGUCGGAGCUUAUCGUGGGUGAAAAACACUCAAAAGUCAGUGCAAUAAUUUGCAGCAGAUCAACUGGCAGUCAGACAAAAAAGAAGAAUUUAUGAUAUUACUAAUGUACUGGAAGGCAUAGGACUUAUUGAGAAAAAAUCAAAAAAUAGUAUACAAUGGAAGGGUGCUGGACCUGGUUGUAAUACAAGAGAAAUAUCUGACAAGUUGAUUAACCUUAAAACAGACCUUGAAGAUUUAGACAGAAGAGAAAAAGAAAUUGAUCAACAUAAAUUGUGGGUUCAACAAAGUAUCAAAAAUGUUACAGACGAAGUUACAAACACUCGUUUAGCAUAUGUUACACAUGAAGAUACAUGUAAAUGUUUUAGCGGUGAUACGUUGAUCGCUGUCCAAGCACCUUCUGGUACACAGUUAGAAGUUCCUAUACCAGCUAUAGGGCCUGGUUUUAAAAAGAACUACCAAAUUCACUUAAAAAGUCAUUCAGGUGCUAUCAAUGUAUUAUUGGUUAAUAAAGAUACAGAAGCUGCUACACCUGUUGUUGUACAAGUACCUCCACCGUCAGAUGAUCUUGUUAAUACAUCAGAGAAUCAAAAUGUUAAUCCUCAUCCUUGUUCUACAGCAGCUAAAGUUGGCAAAACAGGAAAGAAAACUGGAGUAAAAUCUCCAUUAAAAACCAGUCAGCCAACAUCAAUAGAUACAAGUAUGGGUGGUUUAUUAUCCUCUACUAGAAUGGCUACCCGAUCUUCACCAAGGAAAAGUCUUGAUAGCAUGCAAGGUACCAGUUCUAACAGUAAUAGAGAUUCUCCAUGUUUAUCUGGUUUAGAUCCAUUUUCACCAGAACUCUGUCUCUUAGAUCCUACUAGAGCUGAUCUAGAUGGAGAAUUUAUAGAAGACCUUAUCUCGUCCGAUGCAUUUGCACCAUUACUUCGACUGAGUCCACUACCCAAUGAUCGUGAUUAUUAUUUUAAUCUAGAUGAUACAGAAGGUGUAUGUGAUUUGUUUGAUGUACCUCUAAUCAUGUGAGAUAUAUAUUAUAUACCAGAUGUGCCUCUCAUCAGAAUAACAUAAUUAUCUCAUUAUAUUACUCACACAUUUCAAAUGACAAUUUAUUGAUAUUGCACCUCUCUGUCUAUGCUUCUGUUGACAAUUCUUGAGAUUUUAAAUAAAGUUCCAUUUGUUGUGAAGAUCUUGGUCAUCCCAAUAUCAAUUAUUGCCGAUGUUUAGGGGAUGGUGUUAUAUCUCCUGAGACCCAUAUCACUUUUGACACCACAUUGUCGUAACUUCGGUAACAUAUAUUGAAUAAUAUCAUGAAAAUUAAAUCUAUCGCUAUUAAUUAUAAUUCAUGUUCAUAUAAUCAAAGAGAUUGUUAAAUAAUAUGUUACCAACAUUUGGUUCUAUUUUAUUUUGUGUACCCCACUUUAUCCUAAUCUAAAGACACAUGUUUAUUAACCUAACAAUUAAAACCUGUGAUGUUGAACAUUCUGCAAAUGCUUUUGAUUGGUUUCAUUAUCUAAGACAUUUAAUUGGUUGUCUAAUCAUGGUCAAAGGUAUUAUUAUGCUGUCAUGCUCAGAAUACAAUUGGACUUGAUUGUGAUUAUUUUUACAUAUGUAUACAUAUAUUGCCAUCGCCCCGUCCGUCGUCCACAAUUUCUUGUGAACGCUCUAACCCCAAAAGUUAUCAUCCUAUCUUUCUGAAAUAUAUAUGCAUUAUUUAGAUUAGUGAAACGAAGAAGCAUAUUUAAUUUCAAUAAUUUCCAUUAAUAACGUUUAGAGUUAUGGCCCCUGUUUCACUUUGUUGAACCUUGUGAAUGCUUUAAUGCCAAAAAGUUAAAAUCCGAUAUUUGUGAAAUUUAUAUGCAAUAUUUAAAUUAGAGAAACGAAGAAGCCUAUUGAAUUUCAGCAAUUUCCGUUUAUUACUUCUAGAGUUAUGGCCCUUGUUUCACUUUGUUUAACCUUGUGAACACUCUAACCCCAAAAGUUAUCAUCCUAUCUUUCUGAAAUUUAUAUGCAUUAUUUAAAUUAGUCUAACGAAGAAGCCUAUUUAAUUUCAAUAAUUUCCGUUUAUAACGUCUAGAGUUAUGGCCCCUGUUUCACUUUGUUGAACCGUGUAAAUGCUCUAAUGCCAAAAAGUUAACAUCUGAUCUUUGUGAAAUUUAUAUGCAAUAUUUAAAUUAGGGAAACGAAGAAGCGUAUUGAAUUUCAGCAAUUUCCGUUUAUUACUUCUAAAGUUAUGGCCCUUGUUUCACUUUGUUUAACCUUGUGAACCCUCUAACCCCAAAAGUUAUCAUCCUAUCUUUCUGAAAUUUAUAUGCAUUAUUUAAAUUAGUGAAACGAAGAAGCCUAUUGAAUUUCAGCAAUUUCUGUGUAUUACAUGUAGAGUUAUCGCCCUUGUUUUACUUUAUUGAACCUUGUGAAUGCUCUAACGCCAAAAGUUGUCAUCCGAUCUUUCUGAAAUUUAUAUGCAUUAUUUAAAUAAGUGAAACGAAGAAGCUUAAUGAAUUUCAGCAAUUUCUGUUUAUUACGUCUAGAGUUACGGCCUUUGUUUCACUUUAUUGAACUUUGUGAAUCCUCUAACAUCAAAAGUUACCUGCUGAUCUGUAUGAAAUUUACAUGCGUCAUUUAAAUUAGUAAAGAGAAGAAUCCUAUUGAAUUUCAGCAAUUUCCGUUUAUUACUUCUAGAGUUAUUGCCCUUUUUUCACUUUGUUCAUCCGAUAUGUAUGAAAUUUAUAUGCAUCAUUUAAAUUUGUGAAACGAAAAAGCCUGUCAAAUUUUAACAAUUUCUGUAGAUUACUUCCAGAGUUGAGACCCUUGUUUCCAUUUGUAGAACCUUGUGAACCCUCAAACGGCAAAAAUUAUAAUCUGAUCUGUAUGGAACUGUCUUGUAAAGGCCCCCAAUUACCUACAAAGGAAUAAAUAUGCGACAACCCUCGUCGACCGCUUGGACUAUUUAGCUGCUGUGGGCCUAUGUUUCGUUGCCUGGCAACCUAUUUUAAUAUUAGCCCUAGCCAUCAAGUUAACAUGGCUUGUUUUCGCUACACAGUGUUUGAUCACUGGGAAUCGGAAUAAAGACAUUUUCAGAUUCAUUUGAAAUCCAUUCAUUUAUCUCAAGUAAUUUUCAAAUCUUUAUUGUAAUGUGUAAGCUUACUCAUUUCAAAAACUAUUUAUUUGUGGUCGUGAACUGAAGUGAGAGUCUACAUUCUGUAUUUUUAUACGCCCACAUUUUCAUGUGGACGUAUAUUGUCGUCGCCCCUGUCUGUCCGUCCACAAUUAUUUGUGGACACUCUACAGGCGGUGGGACGAUUUACCCAAUACACCGAAUACCACCCGAAUACCCCUCCAAUAUCACCACAUACUACCCAAUACUACAACAUAAUGGUGCCUAAUGAACAUAUUACUAGAUUUUGUUCAAAAAUAGUGAGAUAUAUCGUGAGAAAUGUACUUCGAAUGUGAUCGAAUGUCUGGCUGUUCCAUUUGCCUCCCUAUAUCACCCAACUCAAGCAAAUAAUAACCCAAUACUACCAAAUACUUAUCAAAUACUACUUAAUACUACCCAAUAUUAUAAAAUACAAACCUAAUAUCGUCAAUUAGCAGCACAUCAGUAUAAUUGCAACGAAUAUUCGAUAAUUUACACAAAAUUAAAAUAUUUACGCAGUUAUCUCCCUUUACAAUCGACAAAUAGAUAUUAGAUUGCUACUCAGAUUAAUCACCUUGUUGGGCUUUACAGUUUGUUUCCAAGACAAAAAAGAGUUUUAAAAGAAGUUAAAGAUUUAAAAAUGCAUUAAAAUAAAAUCAGUUUAUAAAAUAAACAUCCAAGUAAAAUAAUAUUUUAGAGGUAGAUUUAAAAAUGUUCAUUUAACGGUCUCGUGCCCUACUCAAAAGUCUUCUUCUACUAUAAUUAUUUCUUCAUCCUGGUGAUUUAAGUAUUAUAACACGCUGUCUACAAGUGCACGCAUUCCUGUAAAAAAUCAUUUGGGUAUAAUAUGUCAGGAAAGCACACAAAUUUAUCUUUAUAUCUAUCUUUUAAUGACUUAUUAACAUGUAUGUCUUUUAAAUGUUUCCGGUUCCAAACCAGUCACCCUUGAAAAAAACCCUCAUGUCCGAAUUUCACAUUCCUCGAAUAUCGCCACUAUCGAACAAUUUCUAUGUAUUCUACGGUAUAUAUCCACAGGUGACAAUGUCGCGGCGAUGUCAUUACCACCUUAAUGAAUAGACACGGUCACCAGUUUCCUCCCACACAUGCAUAUGUUUAUAUUUAUUUUUUCAUGUCAACGAUUAAGUUAUUGCAUAUAUACUUAAUGGACGAUGUUUUAUUUUAAAAUUAACGAAAUUGCAUAUGUUUCUUACAAUGCACAUAUUUAUUACAAAUGUGUAAUACUCUAAUACAUUCCACCUGACUUAACAAUUAAUCAAUGGGGUUAAGAUUGUUGAUUGGGUAAUCAAGUUCUGGUUUAUUUAUAUUAUCAAAGAAACCGACAGAGCUGUAACAGGCCGCAAAUGAUAGUUUUGAUGAACUGAGAAGUGUCGUGUCGAGAAUUACACACUGGAAAGAAACAUGUGCAAUUUGGUUAAUUUUAAAAUAAAACAUCAUGCAGUAAGUAAAUACACAAUAACUUAAUAGUUGAUAUGCAAUUGUUUUGUUAAAGCAUUAAUUUUUAUACGCCCACAUGGAAAUGUGAAACUUCCAAUCAGUAGAAGUUAGUAUUUUUUACUGACGAAACGUUGGAUAAAACGAUGGUUUUUUGAUAUUGUAUUCUAUUAAUUAUUUUAUAUCACAUGGAAAUGUGGUCGUUUAUUGUCGUCGCCCCCGUCCGUCGUCCACAAUUUCUUGUGAACACUCUACAGACUACAUUUAUCAUCUGAUUGUUUUGAAAUUGAUAUAUGUUGUUUGUAUUAGUGAAGAAGCCUAUUUAAUUUCAAUAACUUCCGUUAAUGUCUUCUGGAGUUACGGCCCUUGUUUCACUUUGUUGCGAGCCUAUUGAAUUUCAGCAAUUUCCGUUAACUCAUCUAGAGUUAUGGCCCUUGUUUCACUUUGUUGAAUCUUGUGAACGCUCUAAUGACAACAGUUAUCAUCCGAUCUGUUAGAAAUUGAUAUGCCUCAUUUAAAUUGGUGAAACAAAGAAGCCUAUUGAAUUUCAGCAAUUUCCGUUAAUUACGCCGGCCGCCCGUCGUCUACAGUUUCUUGUGAACACUCUACAAACUACAUUUAUCAUCUGAUUGUUUGGAAAUUGAUAUAUGUUGUUUGCAUUAGUGAGACGAAGAAGCCUAUUUAAUUUCAAUAACUUCCGUUAAUUUCUUCUGGAGUUAUGGCCCGUUAAUUCCAUCUAGACUUAUUGAUAUGCAUCAUUUAAAUUAGUGAAAUGAAGAAGCCUAUUAAAUUUCAGCAAUUUCCGUUAAUUUCUUCUGGAGUUAUGACCCUUGUUUCACUUUGUUGCACCUUGUGAACGCUCUAACGACAAAAAUUAUCAACUGAUCUGUAUGACAUUAUUAUGCAUCAUUUAAAUUAGUAAAACAAAGAAGCCUAUUGAAUUUCAGCAAUUUCCGUUAAUUACAUCUAGAGUUAUGGCCCUUGUUUCACUUUGUUGAAUCUUGUGAACGCUCUAAUGACAACAGUUAUCAUCCGAUCUGUUUGAAAUUGAUAUGCCUCAUUUAAAUUAGUGAAACGAAGAAGCCUAUUCAAUUUCAGCAAUUUCCGUUAAUUACGCUGUGAGUUAUGGCCCUUGUUUCACUUUGUUGUAACUUGUAAAUGCUCUGACGACAAAAGUUAUUAUCCGAUCUGUAUGAAAUUUAUAUGUAUCAUUUAAAUUAGUAAAACGAACAAGCCUAUUGAGUUUCAGCAAAUUUCGGUUGUUUACAUCUAGAGUUAUGGCCCUUGAUUUACUUUGUUGAACUUUGUGAACGUUCGAAUGACAAAAGUUAUCCGAUCUGAAUGAAAUUUAUAUGCAUUAUUUGAAUUAGUAAAACGAAAAAGCCUGUCGAAUUUGAACAAUUUCUGUAGAUUACUUCCAGAGUUACGGCCCUUGUUUUAGUUUUUAGAACCUUGUGAACCCUCAAACAACGAAAAUUAUAAUGUCAUCUGUAUGGAAUUGUCUAUUAAAUUCCCCUAAUUACCUACAAAAGAAUAAAUAUGUGACAACCCUUGUCGACUGCUCGGACGAUUUAGCUGCUGUGGGCGUAUGUAUUGUUGCCUGGCAACCUAUCUUAAAAUAAAUACAAACAAUCGACACUAACUAGGUAAUUUCGGGACUAACAUAAUAGUUCAAUAUUAUUUCAUUAACUCCCUUGCGCGAAGGUAUGUUUAACAGUGAGAUGAAACCGGGGGACCCGAGAAAACCCACCUUGUUUGACAGACGACCUUAUCAAGUGGUAGGAGACAGAUGGGUCAUUUUGGGAAUAAAAUAUGGUAUAUCGUCAUACUUGUUUUUCUUAUUUUAAGUUUGUCGUCUUGGAAACCUACCGCAAAGCCAAAGAAGAUGAUUAAACCGUGUAGCAAUCUAAAAUCAAUUUACCGGUUGUAAAGGGAGAUAACUGGGUAAACAUUUCAAUUUUCUGCAAAAUAUCGAAUAUUCGUUGCAGUAAUUAUACUAAUGUGCUGUUAUUUGACAAUAUUAGGUUGUUAUUUGAUCAUAUUGUGUAGAAUUUGAUGAGUAUUUGGUAGUAUUAGGUUAUUAUAGGCUUGUUUGGUAUAGGGAGGCAAAUAGAACAGCCAGACAUGGUUAUCGCAUUUGAAGUACAUUUCCCACUAUAUAACUCUCUAUUUUUGAAAAAAAUCAAAUAAUAUGUCUAUUUUGGAUCAUUAUGUUGUAAUAUUGGGUAGUAUGUGGUGAUAUUGAGGUGGUAUUGGGUAAAUCGUGCCACCCCUCUACAGGUCACAAUUUUUAUCUGAUUACAACAAAACUUGAAAUAUAGGUUUAUCUCCCUAAGAUCUCGGUUCCUUUCGAUAUUGGCAUGUAUCAGACCGUAACUUCAUGGAUUAUGGCCCCUGAUUGUAUGCAUAAUUGCGUUUUUAGCUUUUGGACCCAAUAGAGGUCACAACUUUUAUCCAAUUUUGUUGAAACUUGAAAUGUAAGUUUAUAACAAGAUCUCAGUUCCUUUUGAUAUUCGCGCAUAUCGGACCGUAACUUCCUGAAUUAUGGCCCCUGAUUGUACGAAAAAUAGCGUUUUUAGCUUGUGGACCCUAUAGUGGUCAUAAUUUUUAUCCAAUUUAAAAAAAACGUUUGAAUAUAUCACCGUUAGACUCUAAGGGUGGUUGAUGAAACUUGAAAUGUAAGUUUAUAACCCAAAGAUCUUGGUUCCUUUCGAUAUUCGCCCCUGAUUGUACGAAAAUUCACGUUUUAGCUUGAGGUCCCUCUAGAUGUCACAAUUAUCAUCCGAUUUAAAAAAUGUUCAAAUAUAUCACCGUUAAAUCAUAAUUUUGGUUGUGUUCGAAUUUCGUAAAAAUCAGACCCAUAUCGCUGGACAAAAUGGCCGCCCCUCAUACACAAUUAGUGUAAACAUCUGGUAUAUCAAAGGUCACAAUUUUGAUCUGAUUUUGAUGAAACUUGAAAUGCAUCUUUAUAACCCAAGGAUCUUGGUUCCUUUCGAUAUUAUGGCAUAUCGGAUAGUAACUUCCUGAAUUAUGGCCCCUGAUUGUAUGAAAAGUCAUGUUUUUAGCUUAUGGUCCCUUUUGAGGUCACAAUUAUUAUCCGAUUUAAGAAAAACCUUCGAAUAUACCACUGUUACACCGUAAUGUUUAUUGAGUUCGAAUUUUGUGAAAAUCGGGCUAAAACUGUCGGACAAAAUGGCCGCCCCCCGUAUGCAAAUAGUGUAUAGCAUCUGGUAUAUCAAGCUUAUGGACCCUCUAGAGGUCACAAUUUUUAUCCGAUUUUGAUGAGAGUUGAAAUACAUGUUUAUAACCCAAAGAUCUUGGUUCCUUUUGAUAUCUGCCACUGCUAAAAGACCCCUACGUGCAAACGAAUCAUUAAAAUGAAAUAAUAAACCACAUGUUAGUCCCAAAAUAACCUAGUUUGUAGCGAGUGUGAGUUAAACCCCAUUUCUCUCUCUCUCUCUCUCUCUCUCUCUUCGAUAUUCGUGCAUAUCGAAUAACUUUCUUGAAUGUACAAAAAAAUCAUGUUUUUAGCUUGCCGUCCAUGUAGUGUAGAGGUCACAAUUUUGAUUCGAUUUAAAAAUACAUAUAAAUAUAUCACCAUUACACACUAAGAUCUUAGUACUUUUUGAUAUCGCGGCCGUAUAUCAGAACGUAACUUCCUGGAUUAUGGCUUCUGAUUGUUCGAAAAAUCGCAUUUUUAGCUUGCGGAUUCUCUAGAGGUCACAAUUUUUUUUUCCGAUUUUAAAAACCGUUUAAAUAUUUCACCAUUCCACCAUAAUGAAGGUUCAAUUCAAAUUUCGGAAAAAGCGAAAUGAAACUGCUCGACAAUAUGGCAGCUCUUUGUACACAAAUUGUGUAAAAGUAUGCAAUACGAAGGUUGUGGACCCUCUAGACACUAGAGAUCCCAUUUUUAUCUGAUUCUGAUGAAACUUAAAACACAUCUUUAUAUCCCAAAGAUCUGUCCCUUUUGAUAUUUGAGCAUUUCAGACCAGAACUUUCUGGAUUAUUGUCCCUGAUUGUACAAAAAAAUCCUGUUUGGUUUUAGCUUGUUCUCUAUCCAUCUCUUGCAAAAUGUGGGCGUAUCCUGCCUGGCAGCCGCUGGUUAAUUAUUUUAUGAUUGCAUUUAUACUACUACUAUAAACCUACAAUCAAAACCUGAUAGACUACAAUUUAUUAAAUCUGACAUCCAUUUAUGUAGACAUUUAAUAAAACUGAUCUGUAAGAUACUAUAACUAGAAAUAAAGGACAAAUAAUAAUAUUACUGACAUUGAAUGAGGUUUUCACAAAGGUCUAUCAAUGUGACAGCAAUUUUUUUGGACCAAGGUUAAAGGAGCUGUCUCAGGUGUAUUUUAGUGGAUCUGCUGGUUAAUUCUGUGUGGAAUACUCAUAGAAACCUGUUUCCUAGCUCCAUGUAGCUAUCUGAAAAUCUUUGAAGUCCCAAAUCCCCUGCUAUUCACAAAUGCCUGCAUAACAAUUUCUAUAUACUGUAUGUAUAGUGCUAAGCUGUUGUUGCAAGUACCAAGUCCAUGGAAUUCCAUAAAUGUGUCAAGUAAACCCUGUUAAACAAAUUUAGCGAUCACUUUCCAUCGAUACCCGGCGAAAUCUAGGACUAUCCCUUUAAAAUCACUUGAGAGUUGAUCUAUUUUUGUAGCAACCUCAAUCUUUGCUUUAUUAUAUACCAGUUUUGAAACUGUUUAUUAUCUGAUGAUUCUAUCAGUUUAUUUUAUGAUAAGACAGUUCUAAAACUUGUAAUAUGAUUUUUGUUUGCCUUAUGUAUUUUUUUUUUAGAAGUUUUCAACUGCCAAAUGAAAGCUGCUUUUAAAACUGUCAUUAUUAUUGUUGCCAAAAAGUUUCCACUCCAAAUAGUCUGAUUCAGUUUGUUACAUAAUUCCCAUCCGUGGGCUUUACGGGUAGAUAUCGUGGAAUAAGCUUUAUUUUGAAGGUUUGAUGUUUAACCCUUAACCGGUCAUUGUCGAUUAUAGUCACCACAACAGCUAAGUGGUCGCGGUCGACCACAGCAAAAACCUUUUUGAUAAGCCAGAUUUAAGUAUUUAGUUUCGUAUUUAAUUGAUAUGGCCACGCAUGCGUGUCAGACAGGAACUUGUCUUGUCAAGGGCAUUGAGAACAACAUGUCUUUGUUCAAGAUUUUUUGACGAAAAAUGUAAUUUAAUGAUGUCGGGGACAUUAAAGACGCUCGAAGUGGUUGAAAUACUUAUGAAUGAUUCUGACUCGGAUUAUAUCGACGACACCGAAUCUGAAGACGAUAUUUCUGAUGAAAAGGACUUAGAAUGAUUUGCAAAUUAUAGAUCAACUUAUCCACUAUUAAAAUGGGUUUGUCUGCCUGUCCGUCUGUCCGCCCGUCACACUUUUUGGGACACAAUAACUCUCUGUCUAAUUGAGCUAGAAUGUUCAAACUUGGUGUAGGUGUCUAUUAGGUCAAUGCCUUGAUGGAAUUUGAAGAUGAACAUUUUCUGCUUAGGGUAAGCAGAGAUAAGCAAUUUGAUCGGUUAAUGCUUUGGGACACGAUAACUUUAGUUCUAAUUAAGUGAGAGUGUUGAAACUUGGUGUAUAGCUUCAUUAUAUCAAUACCUUGACUAAGUUCGCUAAUGAGCAUUUUCUGCUUAGGGUAAGCAGAGUGAUAAGCAAUUUGAUUGGCCGAGACUUUGGAACACAAUAACUCCCCUUCUAAUUGAGGUAGAAUGUUCACACUUGGCGUAGGUGUCUAUUAGGUGAAUGCCUUGAUGGAGUUCGAAGAUGAGAAUUUUCUGCUUAGGGUAAGCAGGGAUAAGCAAUUUGAUUGGUUGAUGCUUUAGGGCACGAUAACUUUAGUUCUAAUUAAGUGAGUGUGAAGACACUUGGUGUAUAGCUUUAUUAUAUCAAUACCUUGACUUAGUUCGAUAAUGAAUAUUUUCUGCUGUCAUGUCAUGGCUGAGUUCAAUGAUUUACAUUGAUCGAUGCUUUGGGACAAGAUAACUUUGAUUCUAUCUGAUAGAGAGUGCUGAAACUUGGUGUAUAGUUUGAUUGCUCGAUACUUUUGGAAAAAAUAAAUGUGCGGUUAAUUAAUAUGUGUCAUCUAUUUUGGGAUUUCUGCGGGGGACAUCAGCCUCACUGUUGGCUUGUUUAUGGUGUCAAGAGUCAAUCACUUAUAAAUUAUCGACAGUAGUCGAUUGAAAUAGGCAUACAAAAUAUUUCACUUUAGCAUUUAUUUAGCCUGACCACUUGACGUCAUGACGUCAAAAUGACAUUGACCAAUUAAGGGUUAAUGACAAAAAAACAAUGUUGACAUUUUUUCUGAGUAGGUCUUCAUAGUAUGGGUGGCUAUAUUUGAGGGUAGCCAUUUUGUGAUAAUAUUCCAACUUAUUUUUUUAUUUUCAUCUUUUUUGUAACGUUAUCGACAUACCAACUGUGAUUUGGCAAUGUAUUAAUAUUGCCAGGGGUCGUGACUAUAUUUCAAUUUUUUUUCCGUCACUUCACGAAGGUAUUUCCAAGAUGGCGACCAUUUUAGGUGGGAAAAUCGGAUGAUGUGCUGAUUUUGAUUAAGUAGUCGUCUUUGGUGUCAAUAUAUAUUUUCAGAGGCAGAUUCCAUUUCUGCCAGUAACAACUGUGUAAAAUGAUCACAUGUUCACCUCAUUUGCAUAUUUCCAAGAUGGGGCCAUUUUUGCGGGAAAAUGGGAUGAUGUGCUGAUAUUGAUCAAGUAGUCGUCUUUGGUGUCAAUAUAUCUUUUUCUGGCGCAGAUUCCAUUUCUCCUGUUUACAACUGUGUAAAAUGUUCAGAGAGAGAAAUAGGGUUUAAUGUCCACUGGACACAAACUAGUUCAUUUUGGGACUAACAUGUGGUCCAGUUUUUACCUUAUCUAAUUAGGUGACAUGAUGUACAAGGAAGUAUGUUUACUCUUCUAGAACACUGAUUAUAAGCAGAUAUAUAUACUCUUCAAAAAAAAGUAGGCUAUAUUCAGAAACAAUACAAAACUGCAGAAAUGCACUGCUGUUUUUAUUAGAAGUAACCAGUGUAUGUUAAUAACAGGCCAAUUGCCAACACAUGAACAGUUCAUAUGGGCGGCUUAUCUGACGGCCCCAUUUCACUCGCAAAGAGAUACGUCAAAAGUGAAAAUGGACUAUUUUGAUUUUUGUCUUAAUAAUGAGUAAUUGCUCCACCAAUCCUCAGACAUUCAGCAAUUCGUCGUGGCAUGCUCCUAAUCAACCGUCCAAUCAUGAUUUGGGGCAAUCUGACCCACUCUUCUUGCAGUGCCACAGCCAAUUCUUGCAGUGUUGUCGGUUGACGUUGACGUCGACAAACGCGUCUCCCGAUCAAAUUAAACGUAACACACUAAAGCAAAGAUACGCUAAACAGUAAAUCUUAUGCAAGAACAGAUAGGAAAGCAAACAUGGAUAGAUAAACCAGCACGCGGCUGUUUUCAUCAACCCUUCCUUGAAGUGUCAAAUUUGACAGUGAACCCCUCCCACAUAUAUUGCGUGUCGAAUGUGCAGUUCAGUGGUUCUGUUGGGGCGAUAAGUUCUUCAUCUGUGAAAAUACUCUCAAAGCAUGUCAAGUGUCCAUGACUAUCACAACCUGCAUAGGUAUUUGCAUUUCAAUAUCACCUACUUUUUUUUGAAGAGUAUACAAGAGUUCACAAAGUAAAUAGAUUUUGUUGAUAAAUUAGAAUCUUCAUUUCAGUGAUGCUGAUUGGCUGAUUUCUUAAUACCAAACUACAUGUCUGUAGAUUUAUAGAUUAAAUCUUUACAUUAUAUAUAAAUAAGACAGUUAUACAUUUUACUUAGCACUAGGAGGGAGGUUACCCUGUAAAUAUGCUGUGUAUUAUUAUUAUAGUUAUGUUCUCUUAUUUAAUUAUGUAAGUGCUGAAUUCUAGGAUUUAAUAGAGGUUAAAAGCACCUGUUUGUUUUUACAUGGUAUACAAUCUUUUGAAAGUUCAUAUUUGUGUAAAUUUUCAUUCAGUAAGUGAAUAAAUCUUACAUAUAAAUAAUU